rnacentral:rRNA from 1 species
CCUGCGGAGGGAUCAUUAUAGAGUUCUAAAACUCCCAACCCAUGUGAACUUACCACUGUUGCCUCGGCGGAGCCUACCCUGUAGCACCUCGCGAGCUACCCUGUAGCACUCCGCCGGCGGAUUUUAAACUAUUGUUUUUUUAUGUUAUCUGAGCGUCUUAUUUUAAUAAGUCAAAACUUUCAACAACGGAUCUCUUGGUUCUGGCAUCGAUGAAGAACGCAGCGAAAUGCGAUAAGUAAUGUGAAUUGCAGAAUUCAGUGAAUCAUCGAAUCUUUGAACGCACAUUGCGCCCAUUAGUAUUCUAUUGGGCAUGCCUGUUCGAGCGUCAUUUCAACCCUUAAGCCUAGCUUAGUGUUGGGAACCUACUGUCCGGGUAGAGCUACCCUGUAGCACCUACCCUGUAGCUCCCGAAAAUCAACGGCGGUCUUGCAGUGUCCUCUGAGCGUAGUAAUUUUUUUCUCGCUUCUGUUAGGCGCUGUAAUUCUAGCCGCUAAACCCCCAAUUUUUAAUGGUUGACCUCGGAUCAGGUAGGAAUACCCGCUGAACUUAAGCAUAUCAAUAGCCGGGAGGAAUA